GUAAAAUGUUCACAGAAAUAUAAAAAAAUAAAUAAAUAAAAAUAAAUAAAACAAACUAGGUUUUUUCUCUUAUCUAAUGACCUCAAUCCUAUUUACACUCUCUAAAUAAUACUUCUCUUUCUCCACAGGGUUUUAUGGCUAUAUCACUAAUAAGGUGUAUUCAAAGAAUCCACUUAAUGGGAGGCUCGCCAGUCCAACUCCACAAUUAGACACGCACCGAUGGAAGUUGAGACAAUCCAAAUCCAGAAGAGAGUUCAAACUUCAAUUGAUUCGAAUCCAGAGCAGAUCACAUCCAGCAACUGACGUCAAUAGAACAUCUCACCGAUGAAAAACCAGAAGAUGCACAAACGAACAAAACCAAGGAAAAGAAAAAAAAAAAA